rnacentral:rRNA from 1 species
UGGGGAAUAUUGGACAAUGGGGGGAACCCUGAUCCAGCCAUGCCGCGUGUGUGAAGAAGGCCUUUUGGUUGUAAAGCACUUUAAGCGGGGAGGAGGCUACUCUGGUUAAUACCUAGGGAUAGUGGACGUUACCCGCAGAAUAAGCACCGGCUAACUCUGUGCCAGCAGCCGCGGUAAUACAGAGGGUGCGAGCGUUAAUCGGAUUUACUGGGCGUAAAGCGUACGUAGGCGGCUUUUUAAGUCGGAUGUGAAAUCCCUGAGCUUAACUUAGGAAUUGCAUUCGAUACUGGGAAGCUAGAGUAUGGGAGAGGAUGGUAGAGUUCCAGGUGUAGCGGUGAAAUGCGUAGAGAUCUGGAGGAAUACCGAUGGCGAAGGCAGCCAUCUGGCCUAAUACUGACGCUGAGGUACGAAAGCAUGGGGAGCAAACA